rnacentral:lncRNA from 1 species
GAAAAUUGUCAACCACUCCUUCCUUAGGGGGUAAAAGCAACAUUCAGCACCGGGGGCAGGUCAAGGCAAGGCUGGCUCCCGUCUCCAGGCCCCAAGGAGCCACACCUGGACCAGACCCCAGGAAAGACAUGUGGUGGAAACCCUACGGCCCUGGAGCCCAAGGAGAGCAACGGCUGUAACAAGUGCACAGGCAAGGGCGCUAGCUGGUGGGAGCCACCCCGCCAUGCUGAUGUCAGAGAAGCAAGAACUCUGGAGAAGCAGCCUCCUGGGACCAGAGGAGGGCCAGCAGCAGGCAGCCCGGAGACAGAACUGUGAGCCCACCCCACCUCCACCCUUCCGGCACCCACAUCCGCUCCCCACCCCAGCCCACCUGCAGGUGGCUCCUGGAGUAUCCUGGGUCCCUCAGGAUAAACUCCCCACCCUAACCUCAGAAUGACCAAGAAACUGGGCCUGAGGAUGACAAGAAGCAGAAUGGGCCUUGGUAAAGGAAGACCCCCCACUGAUUGGUGGCAGUGCGGGCAGUUCAGGGCUGUCAGCGUCUGGGUUGUAGGUAAAAAGAAAUGGAACCCAAGAAGGGAAAUCCAACUAGGAGCCAAGAAUCCGGUCUACCCCAUCCUCCUUACGAAAUAGCAAUGCAAAGCCCGUGUGAUUUGGACAUAAAGCCUCUGUUACUCAACUUGAUUCGGUGAAUAACAGACUUGAAAGAAAUGUGGAAAAUAAUAGUAAUCUUCCCUAGAAAGGAGUAAACAGGGUUGAGCUCCCAAAGCAGGAAGACCUGGGGCUGUGUGAUCUUGGACGAGUCACUCAACCUCUCUGAGCCUAGUGAUAAAGAGCCAGCUCAUAGGGCUUUGAGAGGAUUUGUGAGGUUGGGCUGGUGUCCCCAGGCACAGCCCUUGGCACAUAGUGAAACUCAAGAAAACAGAGCAGUUUUUACCAUUCAUCACAUUAUUCCCACACUUGCCAAUUUUUUAAGUUCAUGCACAUGGUGGAACAGGUAGGGUGAGGUGCCAGCUCCAUAAGAUGAGUGGAGAAACUGAGGCCUGGAGAGGUGAAAGCAUUCACUCAGAGUUGCAUGUAGAGUCAGUUGCAAAGGAGAAUUCUGGCACCAGUUCUCAUGUGGAUGGAAAAAGUGCAGGAAGAUUUGGAGGUGAGCAGAGGAGAAGGGAGGAGGAGGCCGGGUUCCAGGAAAGGAGCUGACAUCCAGGGAUGUGGGACAAGGCCCAGGCCUGUCUUACAUAACAUGGUCCACCUGUUCACCCCUGCAGGCCCCACAAAUGUGUGCAAACGUGCACCCCGGCACAGCGCACACCCAGUCCUCCCUCACUGGCAAAUAAGCCACAGAGACUGGGUUUAAACAAAUUGGAUUAGGAGGGCUACAGGCGCCUCCUCCCCCCGACUGUCCGGCUCCGACACUAAACAGACCUGCAGAACUGCCAGCUGUGGUCUCUCGGACACACUGACAGUCGGUCCUUGGCUCCCUCACCCCACCCGUGGGCCUCAGGAAGGGGGUUGGGGUCUGAGAGGAUGCCACAGUGAUGGAUGGGGUGAGGGAGGUUCCAGGGCUAGCUCAACAGCGCACAGGAUGUUAGUGCUUUUGCGAGGCACAUUUCCGAGCUGUUCCCAGACCCGCCCCCACUUCCCCCCUCACCCUCCCCUCCGGCAGCCUCUCCCAUGGCCACUGCUGCGGGCUGUGAGCAGAGCCCCGUCCUUGAGCAGAUUGACCUCAUCUUUCAGUCCUGCAGCUGGGCUGAGCGGGGAGUCAGCUCAGAAGACACUGGCCUGGGGAUGAGACUCGGGGCAUGCUUCAGAGGGAAGAAAGAGCUUCUGAACAGACAAUGCUGUCUUAAAGGUGGCAUCUUGGUGCUUUCUCAUGCCUUGUUUUCUUUCAUCCUCAGAAUGUGUCUGGGGGUGAGAGGACGGGUGUGACUGCUGAAACUUCCUUUCUUGGUGAUUCCACAUCACUCCUUUCUGAUCCCUGAGCCUGUGCCACGCCCUGUGUGAUGUGCCGGGGACACCAGGGUGAAUACUUACAGGCCCUGUUCCCCUUCCUUCAUGAAACAGCCUCCUUCGGGCUGGGUCACUGGGCACUGGGGCCUCCCUGGUCUUCCAGGAUUGCAACUUCACAGAAUCCCUUUUCCAUAAGGCACAUGAAAGUGACUGUGACCCGCAACGGGAGCCUUGACAACCAGCCAAUUCAGAACACAGACCUUGACAUCGGAAGGCCCCGAGUUCAAAUCCUGCCUUGCUCCCUUUCAGCUGGAAAGCUGUGGUCAAAUUACUUAGCCUCUCCAAGCCAGUUUUCCCUUCUGCAAAAUGAGGUUACACAAGCUGCCACCUCACAGAAUGAGUCUCACCCACGCCUCUCCAAGCCUCCCAACAGAAGACAGAGGUCCCCCACAGCCAGAGACAUUUCCUGAAGACAUGGGGAACACAGAGGCAGAAACAGCCCAUCCACCCAGGAGCUGUCCCCCACACUGCCGGGAGCCGGCACCCAGAGCCGCCAGGUAAAACUGAGGCCACCUGGUUCAACAUCACCUUUCACAGAAGGGGAAGCAGCCACAGAAAGAAGGGCCUCGUUAAGAAGUGGAACCUGGGACCCCCAAGCGGUGUCUCUCAUCCUGACUGGGGAUCCAGAGUAGGAGGGAGCCUUUGGUGGGGUAAGUGGAAUGGGGCGGGGUGGGGGGUGGCCAUAGACCCCUCUUCUCAGUAAGGCCCUCAUGUGAAGGAGGCAGGGGUUGGGACAAGUGCUAAGUAUGCAAGACUCAAGGGAAGAGCUGCUGGAGCCAGGAGAAGCACCUCCCUCCCGGCCCCUCUGCCCCUCCUCAUAGCCCAGCUGCACUGACUCCUCCUCCAGGAAGCCUUCUCAGCUUCCCCAGGGGUGGGAACCUUUUUGUCCUCCAGGUGUGCUUGGCUGUCCUUUCUUGGGCUCUCUCUCUCUCUCUCUCCUCAUCCCACUUGAGUCUGCCCCCUAUUCACCUUGUGAGGGGAAUUUUCCUUCUACUCAAUCUGACCGAGGUCCUCCAGGUCAAGGACAGCGAGGCUCUCAGUCCCACUUCCCCUUGGCACAUAGAAGAGGCAGUGCGCUGAAGGGACAGGUGAAAUGAUUAGACCCUGCCCCCAAACCAAGGCCUGGCCAAUUGGACAGGGCAUGAGACAUUCAGCGUAGAGGUUAAAACGAGGGCCCUGGGUUAGGAACCCCAGCUCAGUUCUCAGCUCUGUACCCUUGGAAAAUUCCCUUCCCAUGGAGCUUUGUGGAUGCACAAGGACUUGCACAAAGAAAACAUUCAAUAUCCAGGACUAUAAAAUUCCACAAAUGAUUGUGCUUAUUACAUUCAUUAUCACGAUGAUUAUUCCAGACACAAAGGAACAGAACGAGGCACCAACAGCAAGGGGCAAGCAGAUUCAAGGGCCACAGAGGAGAUGGAGGCAAACACCUUCCCCUGGUCAGAGGCUGUGCCUCAGCCCUUCUCCCUGCAUCAGUUUCUCCUUCAGAAGCAUGGGACUACCUCCCAUCUAGUUCUCGUUUCUAAACCUAGGGGAGAUGCUAUCUUUGCUGCAAUAAUCUUAGCCUACAUCUUGGAAUGGAAAUGGCCUUGGUGGAAAUGGUCUUCAACUCCUCUGGUCCAAGCUCAGGCCCUGUGACCCUGGAACAAUCCCCUUCCUGGUCCUCCAUGUAGGAGCAAUAACAUUCCCUUGCCAGCAGCACCAGCCAUUCUGAUGAUUAAAUGGUAUCGGACUCUGUUUUCCAAACUCAGUCAUUCAGAUGCCCCCUAUUUUAUUUCUUCCAUGUCUGCAAAUGAUUAUAAUAUUUUUAAAUGUAGGAUGAGUCCUUUUUAUUACACAUAGAAAUAGCUACUGUAAAUAGCAAACUCUAACACUGUGCCUAAUUAGGAAAUAAAGGUAACCAUAAAUACAGUAAAAAUGAAACAAUGUUAUUAUGGUUUAACCUGAUAGUGUGGCUUGCAAGGCCCUGGGCCUGAAGCCUGGGCAAUAAGUGAGAGUUAGAAAGGUGUCAAAGACAUGAUAGCAGCAAACUGAGGCUUUGUACCCCACGGUAAAUAGGACUGAAAGCAAAUUCACAGGGAGCAACUGAUCCAUUCCACAACAGAAUGCUCCCUGUCAAUUCGCUUUCCAUUCUGUUGUGUCCUGUCUCCCAGCAGAGACUACAAACUCCCCAAAACCACUUACCCACCAGCUGCACGUGAGAAGCCAAAGGUAGUUUAUGUGAAAGGGCUUUGGAAAUAAUCACGCACCAAGUGAAGGCAGAGGACACACCUUGUCAGCUUAGUUCUCAGCAGCAAAUCAUCUCUUUUCCAGGAUAACCCUCCCUGAUUCUUAUUGAAAUCUCUUUGCUGACCACACUAAGCUCUUCUCUCUCAGGGGCAGUGGGAGCCGUGGAGAGUGGAAUAGACCAGCUGUCUGUGACCUGCGAGGGAGUCCAAUGUCGGAAUCACUCCCCAGCCAAAUGCACGGUUUUAAAAAAUCUAUUUAUUUAUUUAUGUAGAGACCAGGCUAUGAGACUGGCUAAUUUUUCGUAUUUUUGGAUAGAGACAGGAUUUCAUCGUGUUGCCCAGGCUGGUCUUGAACUCCUGGGCUCAAGCGAUCCACCUGCCUCGGCUUCCCAAAGUGCUCAGGAUUACAGGCGUGAGCCACUGUGCCCAGCCACCAAAUGCAGUUGAAAAGAGUUUCUGCAAGAUAAUUCCACAGAAGAGGAAAGCAGUUAUCUGGCUGGGAAUACCUUAGACAGAGGCUGUCCUCUACACAGGCUGUCAGAACUGACCUACUGACCUGCCUGCUGGCAUGAUAGACCAGAGGGAAACACUCUUUCCACUCUUCCCAGACUGAGUGUAAGAGACAGACUUUUUUUUUUUUUUUUGAGACGGAGUCUCACUCUGUCACCCAGGCUGGAGUGCAAUGGCAAGAUCUCGGCUCACUGCAACCUCCACCUCCCCGGGUUCAAACCAUUCUCCUGCCUCAGCCUCCCAGGUAGCUGGGAUUACAGGCUCCCGCCACCACGCCUGGCUAAUUUUUGUAUUUUUAGUAGAGACAGGGUUUCACCAUGUUGGCCGGGCUGGUCUCGAACUCCCAACCUCAGGUGAUCCGCCUACCUUGGCCUCCCAAAGGGUUGGGAUUACAGGUGUAAGCCACUGCUCCCAGCCUUUUUUUUUUUUUUUAUUAGAGACAAGGGCUCCCCAUGUUGCCCAGGCUGAUCUUGAACUCUAGGCUCAAGCGAUCCUCCUGCCUGAGCCUCCCAAAGUGCUAGGAUUACAGGCAUGAGCACUGCUCCCAGCUCUGUUUUUGUUUUUUUAAGGAGGUAUAUUUUUUCUGUUCUCUCUCAGCCCUGAAGAAAGGCUACCCAUCCCCUUCAGACAUUCCUGAAAAUAUAUGUCAUCCAACAUCAAGGCCACCACAGUGACCACUAAGCAAUGCAAGAAGGUCCUCUGGGGUGCCCUGAGAUCUUGGCAGGGCAGGAAGAGUGAGAAGGGGCUUUGCCUGCUCACCUGAAAGUUCCCACCCAAGCCGGGCCCAGAAAACAAAAUGAAUUAUCUACAUGGUCAUCCAAUCAGCCACCAAAUGGCAUUACCUAGGUCCAUCAUCAUGUACCAAGCCACAGGUCAGACCCAGGGCCCCCCAAAUUAACAAGACACAGGCACUGUCCUCAGGAAGUGGAGAUCUAGCCAGGUCAGACCCACACACAAAUAACACUGAUACUAGAGAUAAUGAGAUUGGGAAUUAUGAUUCAGCCAUUCAACCUGGGCUUAUGUGGCAUCUACACCACCUGGCCCUGAUUUCAGUAGUGAGCACAGUUGACAGGGUCCCUUCCCUUCACAGGUGAGCCAUGUAGUCCACAAGUGGAGGUGGUCGUAAGUGAAAACCACAUUACCAGCAUGGUAAAGGGUUAGAAAGAGGGCACCGGGUGGGCGAGAACAUGAAGCAGGGGGUGCUGAUGGCUAAAGAAGUAAAGGAGGGGCUGGGCACUGUGGUUCAUGCCUAUAAUCCCAGCACUUUGGGAGACCAAGGCGGGUGGAUCACCUGAGGUCAGGAGUUCUAGACCAGCCUGGGCAACGUGGUGAAACCCUGUCUCUACUAAAAAUACAAAAAUUAGCCAGGCAUGGUGGUGCACGCCUGUAGUCCCAGCUACUUGGGAGGCUGGGGCAUGAGAAUUGCUUUAACCCGGAAGGUGGAGUUUGCAGUGAGCCGAGAUCGUGUCACUGCACUCCAGCCUGGGCGACAGAGGGAGACUCUGUCUCAAAAAAAAAAAAAAGUCAAGGAGGGUUUCCCAGAGUGGCCACUUGAUUAGAGACCUAGCACAGGAGGAAGAGAUGGGCAGGGAGAGUGACGGGGAGCAGCACAGUCCCUGGGAGCCCGAAGUGGGUGGGCACAGGGCUCCCUAGGAGAAUGGAAGGACAUCUAUGAGCUGUAGCCCAAGAGGAAGAGGUCACUGGGGCUAGAUGCGGCAGACCCUCGCAGGCUUUGGGAAGGGCUUCAGAAUUCAGCCUGAGGGCAAUGGGGAGCCCUUUUGGGAUAUUAAACUUGAGUAAGAUAUGAGCAUAUUUGCAUCUUGAAAAAUCAUUAUGGGAAGAUGGCUGGGAAGAGAGGAGGAGUGGCAGAAGAAAGAUAGGUUGGAGACAAUUGAUUGCUCGAUGAUAUAAAAUGUUAAGUACCAUGAAUGAUGCUGUUAGGCUGGAAUGCGCCAAGCAUAAAGGUGGGGCAUGGCAUCAAAAGGUAGGUCAACAUAUUAAAUAAUUCCAUGUAUUGAAAUAUCCAGAAAAUAUAUAGACAGAUCUAUAGAGAUAGAAACUGGUCUGCCCAGGACUAGGGGUUGUCUAAGGAUAAGGAGCUUCUUUUUUGGAUGGUGAAAUAACCUAAAAUAUAUUGUGCCAUUGUUUGCACAACUUUGUGAAUAUAUUAAAAACCUGUUAAUUGUACUCACUAAAUGUCCUCCUUCUAAAUUAAGCUGUUCUUGACAAGAAAAGGAAAGAAACAAAGAAAAGAAGAGAAAAAAGGUCAAGGUUUGGUCCUGGGUGCUCAAAUGGCAGGCCACAGACAGGAAACACAGUUGUGAGGAAUUACAACAGCCUCCCGGCCAGAGCUGGAGAGGUGGAGCCCAGGUCCCCUCUAACACCCCUUCUCCUGGCCAGGUUGGAGUCCCGCCACAGGCCACCAGAGCGGAGCAGCGCAGCGCCCUGUCUCCCAGCCUGAGGUGCAGUGCUGCAUCUCUGGUCAGUUGGGAGUCUGAGAUGAAGCACUGUAGCUCAGGAAGAGAGAAGUUGUUCUGCAGCCAUCAGCCUGGAAGUGGUAAGUGCUGGGGGGUUGUGGGGGGCCAUAACAGGAAGGACAGAGUGUUUCCAGACUCCAUACUAUCAGCCACUUGUGAUGCUGGGGAAGUUCCUCUACACAAGUUCCCCUGGUGCCACGAUCUGCUUCACGAGUCUGGGCAUGUCCUGACUCCUCUGUGUACCCCAGUGUGUCCAUCUUAGCAUGAGGCGUUAGCAUUUCCCCAGCACCCUGCCUCUGCUUUCUCUUUCUGAGCCCAUGGCAGACACAGCUAAUCAGUAAAGGCAUAUAUUCUUUUUUUUUUGAGACACAGUCUCACUCCAUCACCCAGGCUGGAGUGCAGUGGCAUAAUCUCAGCUCACUGCAACCUCCUCCUCCCAGGGUCAAGCAAUUCUCGUGCCUCAGCCUCCCAAGUAGCUGAGAUUACAGGUGUGCGCCACCACACCUGGCUAAUUUUUGUAUUUUUAGUAGAGAUGGGGUUUCACUAUGUUGGCCAGGCUGGUCUCAAACUCCUGACUUCAGGUGAUCUGCCCGCCUCGGCCUCCCAAAGUGCUGGGAUUACAGGCAUGAGCCUCCACGCCCCGCCAGGCAUCCAUUCUUGAAGUGCUCAGAUGCAGCUUCAGAAUCCUCAACAAUGAGCCCUGGAAAGCCACUAGUACUGAUUCACAGCUGAAACUCAUUCAUCAUUUGUGGAUCAAACAAUUCCUAAAAACCCUUUCAGCCCUGAAGAUAAAAAUUCUGGCCUUUGAGUCAGGGUCUUCACUCUGUACUUCUAACCUUGGCUCCGGGGUAUUGCCGAAACCAGUCCAGGCACGUCACAAAUGUCUGACUUCUCCCAGAGGCUUCAGAAGCACAAUGAGCAGCAGAGGAGAGCCAUGGAGCCAAGCACAGUCUCAUUUAACCUCCCCAAAAGCUUGGGAAGUGGGUGGUGUUAUAGCCCCAUUUUACAGAUGAGAAAAACUGAGGCUUAUUUAAGCAGCUCACCUAAAGUCACAUAUUGAUUGUGCUGAGCUGAGAUUGUACCCUAAUCUGCCUUCAAAUCCAUGUUUUUACCCAUUGCAUGUGAUUAUGGAACCUGGGACCGAGGAGCAGGAGGAGAACAUUCUAAAUUCUGCUCCCAUCUUGUCUUUACAUCUCAGGUCACUUUUAGCAAAGACAGACCCGGACACUUGCCAUUAAUACUACAGGCUUCCUUCCUCCUACCCCCUUCCCCCAAUCUUAUUCAUCUCACCUCUCCAGUAGGUCGUGGACUCAUGCAUUUUAUAAUUAAAGAAGGCCAAGGCUCAGGGGUUAAGUGACUUACUGGAGGUUAUCAGAGAGGAAGUUGCCAAACCCAGGCUAGGAACUGAAUGGUUGGUUUAAAUCCACCCCUCUGGCAGGAGACUGGGGAAUACACAUGAGCCGUGCAGACAGCAGAGGGCAGUCCUGGGGGUGGGGGCGCCAGAGGGUUUCCGGUACUUUUCAGGGCAAUUGAAGUUCCGGUCACUACUCCCCCCCAGAGCAAUAAGCCACAUCCGGCGACGUGUGGCACCCCACCCUGGCUGCUACAGAUGGGGCUGGAUGCAGAAGAGAACUCCAGCUGGUCCUUAGGGACACGGCGGCCUUGGCGCUGAAGGCCACUCGCUCCCACCUUGUCCUCACGGUCCAGUUUUCCCAGGAAUCCCUUAGAUGCUAAGAUGGGGAUUCCUGGAAAUACUGUUCUUGAGGUCAUGGUUUCACAGCUGGAUUUGCCUCCUUCCCACCCCACAGUUGCCCCCCAAUGGGGCCUCGGCUGGCUCACAGGAUGAGGGUUCAAGAAGAAGGCUGUCCCUGGAGGUAAGAGGGCUUAUGAACCAUGUUCCAAACCUUUGCGUUGCUUUUCUUUCCAUCGUGUCUAUUUCAUAACAUCCCUGUGAGGCUGGAUGUGGGAACUUCAGCACUGCCGUACUCUUGGGAAAUUUGUCCAAGGCCACCCGGCUGAGCAGCGGUUGAACCAGGACACCAUCAGGCAUGCGUUUCUUGUCUCCACCACACCCUCAACCCACUUCCCAACGCGCCUUGCGACAGGGGCUGCGGUAUUGCAUCCACAUGACUGAUAAACUAGUAAACACACAUGAAUUCAUUUUAAAAGUGUAUUCAAUCAGUUAGGUAAACUAAAAACCUUAAGUCUUCGUUCGAUUUGGAAUGCAGCCAGAGAACAAAUGGAAAAUUUUUCAAGGUAGAGAAGAUGAAAACUCAGAACGCCCUCUUGUGGCAUCUCUACCCACCCUAGGAACACUAUGGCUCUUCCCCUACACAUGGUGAUUGCUAACCUUGCUACAAGACGUUGGACACACACACACACACACACACACACACACACACACUGAGGUUCCUUUUGCCCCCUCACUUUUGAGCCAGUGACUACUGAAACCCUCUCCAUUGUUGCACCACCAGCAAUGCCCCCAUCACUUCCUCUCAUUUACUUCCACAGGCUGGUUCAUCCUCAAAGCCCUCCUUACGUAGAUCUGUGGGAUCAGUGAGGCUCAGAGAGGUAAAGUGGCCAGCCCAAGGUCGCCCAGACAGCAAAAGGCAGGGCCAGCGCUGAUUUCAAGUCCAAUGGCCUAUGGCAAUUUCUUAGCCAAAAGCAAAAUCUACAAAAAUAAAAAGUCAGGCACAGUGGUGAGUGCCUACAGUCCCAGCUACUGAGGAGGCCGACGGGGGAGGACCACUUGAGCUUGGGAGUUCCUGGCUGCAGAGAGCUAUGAUUGUGCCUGUGAAUAGCCAAUGCACUCCAGCCUGAGCAAGAUAGGGAGACCCUGUCUCUAAAAAAUACCUAAAUAAUUUUAAAAGUCAGCCUCUCUGACUGCCUAUAGAGAAUGCUAACUAACUGAAUGACAGAAGACCUAAUGUAAUCCAGGUGCAAAAUCAGAACUUUCCGGCCGGGCGCGGUGGCUCACACCUGUAAUCCCAACACUUUGGGAGGCCCAGGCGGGUGGAUCACGAGGUCAGGAGUUCAAGACCGGCCUGCCCAACAUGGCAAAACCCCGUCUCUACUAAAAAUACAAAAAAUUAGCUGGGCAUGGUGGUGGCCACCUAUAAUCUCAGCUACUCAGGAGGCUGAGGCAGGAGAAUUGCUUGGACCCGGGAGGCAGAGGUUGCAGUGAGCUGAGAUCGCGCCACUGCACUCCAGCGUGGGGGACAAAAGCGAAACUCUGUCUCAAAAAAAAAAAAAUUAGAACUUUCCCCGUACUCUUGCUAGGGCUUUUCAUGGAGAUGUAGAAAUGGUAGUAAGUGCCAAGGCCCCAGAACCCUCAUGUUUGGGUCCGACUCCCACAUUGCCAGAGACUAGGCAGCUCACACAGGUGUCCCAAGCUGUCUUUCUCACAGGCCGCAUUGAAGGCAUUUAUGAAAUGAGACCCCCUCUUCCUCAUCCGUAGUGACAGGGCUGGCCUGACCGUGGAGAAAUCAGAUUUGAUCAUGAUAGCUUCCACUCCGUGACUGGUCACGAUCUGCCAGGCGCUGUGCUAAACACUUUCAUAGGCCUUGUCCCCCUCCAUCCUGAUAACACCCCAGUGAAGCAGGCCCUGCUCUUCACUCCACUCCACAAAGCCAAGGCUGAGAGAGGUUAACAGACUUACCUAAGGUCACACAGCUAAGAAGUCGUGAAGCUGGGAUCGAAUCAAGUCUGUGUUUAUGGGUUUAACUAUCAUGUUGUGGCCCCAACCCCAUUUGACCUAGCCUGGCUGGUGGGCCUUCUUGCAGUAGCUUCCCCUGGAGAAGAGGAAAAGCAAACCUUCAUUGAGACCCAAGCGGUCUCUCCUGUGCUCUGUGACAAUAAUAAAGUUCCAGCCCUUGGCUCCUGU